rnacentral:rRNA from 1 species
CGAAUGCUGACAUAAGUAACGAUAAAGCGGGUGAAAAGCCCGCUCGCCGGAAGACCAAGGGUUCCUGUCCAACGUUAAUCGGGGCAGGGUGAGUCGACCCCUAAGGCGAGGCCGAAAGGCGUAGUCGAUGGGAAACAGGUUAAUAUUCCUGUACUUGGUGUUACUGCGAAGGGGGGACGGAGAAGGCUAUGUUGGCCGGGCGACGGUUGUCCCGGUUUAAGCGUGUAGGCUGGUUUUCCAGGCAAAUCCGGAAAAUCAAGGCUGAGGCGUGAUGACGAGGCACUACGGUGCUGAAGCAACAAAUGCCCUGCUUCCAGGAAAAGCCUCUAAGCAUCAGGUAACAUCAAAUCGUACCCCAAACCGACACAGGUGGUCAGGUAGAGAAUACCAAGGCGCUUGAGAGAACUCGGGUGAAGGAACUAGGCAAAAUGGUGCCGUAACUUCGGGAGAAGGCACGCUGAUAUGUAGGUGAAGCGACUUGCUCGUGGAGCUGAAAUCAGUCGAAGAUACCAGCUGGCUGCAACUGUUUAUUAAAAACACAGCACUGUGCAAACACGAAAGUGGACGUAUACGGUGUGACGCCUGCCCGGUGCCGGAAGGUUAAUUGAUGGGGUCAGCGCAAGCGAAGCUCUUGAUCGAAGCCCCGGUAAACGGCGGCCGUAACUAUAACGGUCCUAAGGUAGCGAAAUUCCUUGUCGGGUAAGUUCCGACCUGCACGAAUGGCGUAAUGAUGGCCAGGCUGUCUCCACCCGAGACUCAGUGAAAUUGAACUCGCUGUGAAGAUGCAGUGUACCCGCGGCAAGACGGAAAGACCCCGUGAACCUUUACUAUAGCUUGACACUGAACAUUGAGCCUUGAUGUGUAGGAUAGGUGGGAGGCUUGGAAGUGUGGACGCCAGUCUGCAUGGAGCCGACCUUGAAAUACCACCCUUUAAUGUUUGAUGUUCUAACGUUGACCCGUAAUCCGGGUUGCGGACAGUGUCUGGUGGGUAGUUUGACUGGGGCGGUCUCCUCCUAAAGAGUAACGGAGGAGCACGAAGGUUGGCUAAUCCUGGUCGGACAUCAGGAGGUUAGUGCAAUGGCAUAAGCCAGCUUGACUGCGAGCGUGACGGCGCGAGCAGGUGCGAAAGCAGGUCAUAGUGAUCCGGUGGUUCUGAAUGGAAGGGCCAUCGCUCAACGGAUAAAAGGUACUCCGGGGAUAACAGGCUGAUACCGCCCAAGAGUUCAUAUCGACGGCGGUGUUUGGCACCUCGAUGUCGGCUCAUCACAUCCUGGGGCUGAAGUAGGUCCCAAGGGUAUGGCUGUUCGCCAUUUAAAGUGGUACGCGAGCUGGGUUUAGAACGUCGUGAGACAGUUCGGUCCCUAUCUGCCGUGGGCGCUGGAGAACUGAGGGGGGCUGCUCCUAGUACGAGAGGACCGGAGUGGACGCAUCACUGGUGUUCGGGUUGUCAUGCCAAUGGCACUGCCCGGUAGCUAAAUGCGGAAGAGAUAAGUGCUGAAAGCAUCUAAGCACGAAACUUGCC